CAUGCUUCCAAGAAAAGCCCUAUACCCGUUAAGGCAUGAUGGCCUGUACCCGAAACCGACACAGGUGGGGUGGUAGAGAAUACCGAGGGGCGCGAGGUAACUCUCUCUAAGGAACUCGGCAAAAUGGCCCCGUAACUUCGGGAGAAGGGGUGCCACCGCAAGGUGGUCGCAGUGAAGAGGCCCAGGCGACUGUUUACCAAAAACACAGGUCUCCGCUAAGUCGCAAGACGAUGUAUGGGGGCUGGCGCCUGCCCAGUGCCGGAAGGUUAAGGAAGCUGGUCAGCGUAAGCGAAGCUAGCGACUGAAGCCCCGGUGAACGGCGGCCGUAACAAUAACGGUCCUAAGGUAGCGAAAUUCCUUGUCGGGUAAGUUCCGACCCGCACGAAAGGCGUAACGAUCUGGGCGCUGUCUCGGAGAGAGGCUCGGCGAAAUAGAAUUGUCUGUGAAGAUGCGGACUACGUGCACCCGGACAGAAAGACCCUAUGAAGCUUUACUGUAGCUUGGUAUUGUGCUCGGGCUCGGAAUGCGCAGGAUAGGUGGGAGGCUAUGAACCAUUGCUUGCGGGUGACGGUGAGCCACUGGUGAGAUACCACUCUUUCCGAGCUAGAGUUCUAACAGCCACCCGUUAUCCGGGGGCUGGACAGUAUCAGGUGGGCAGUUUGACUGGGGCGGUCGCCUCCUAAAAGGUAACGGAGGCGCGCAAAGGUUUGCUCAGGCUGGUUGGAAAUCAGCCGACGAGUGUAAAAGCAGAAGCAAGCUUGACUGUGAGACCUACAAGUCGAACAGGGAGGAAACUCGGCUUUAGUGAUCCGACGGUUCUGCGUGGAAGGGCCGUCGCUCAACGGAUAAAAGUUACUCUAAGGAUAACAGGCUGAUCUCCCCCAAGAGUUCACAUCGACGGGGAGGUUUGGCACCUCGAUGUCGGCUCAUCGCAACCUGGGGCUGAAGUCGGUCCCAAGGGUUGGGCUGUUCGCCCAUUAAAGCGGUACGCGAGCUGGGUUCAGAACGUCGUGAGACAGUUCGGUCCAUAUCCGGUGCAUGCGCAGGAAUAUUGAGAGGAUUUCUCCCUAGUACGAGAGGACCGGGAGGAACGCACCUCUGGUGUACCAGUUAUCGUGCCAACGGUAAACGCUGGGUAGCCAUGUGCGGAGAGGAUAACCGCUGAAAGCAUCUAAGUGGGAAGCCCACCUCAAGAUGAGUAUUCCCAUGGGGUAACCCAGUAAGGUCACGGGAAGAACACCCGUUGAUAGGCUCUACGUGGAAGCGCAGUAAUGUGUGAAGCGGAGGAGUACUAAUAGACCGAGGGCUUGAUA
rnacentral:rRNA from 1 species